rnacentral:lncRNA from 1 species
CUGAACUGCUCUGACUGGCAGACUUUUAUUUUAAUUGCUUUUCUCCUGUAGCAUCUUGCUUCAUCAGAAAAGUGAAGGAAUCUAUAUAAAGCAGCCUACUUCAGUUAUGCUGCUCUCAUUCAUACCAAAGGCAAGUCUCUGUGCUUUGAGACACGAAUAUUCUGGAUGCGAAGAGAGAAGAUGCACAAAGGAUGCUAUAGGCAAUGGAGACCGCUGAGGAAGAAGAGAUCUAGCACAACAUCUUUUGGGAAGAGUCUAUCCAACAGGAAUCACACCGACCCUCCCUUUGUGCCAGCUCCUUCUGUUAUGCCAGUACAAGGUGAUUCUGUGUUCCACUUUGGAGUGUCCAAUUAUUUUCUUACGUCUACUUCAUUGGCUUGCUACAGAGCAGGGGGCUUUAACAUCAGCAUCUCCAAAGUGCUUUUUGCUAUAAUACUUUCCCACUUGUGUGGUUUACCUACAAACAUGCAUCCAGCAGGACUGUGCAUGUGUAAAGAGGAGAGCUGGCAACCAGAAUAUUCUGUGUAG